UUGAGGUCAAUGGAUCUACCCACAUGAAUAUGGUUAUGUAUGUGAGUUUUCAGGAUCUGGGCCUUAACAUGUACAAUAGGAAUAUUUGCACUUAUAUUAAAUCUGCAAGGGGAUCUUAAAUCUCUAGAUUCAGGAUAUAAGGCAACCACUGUCUGUGUGGGAUUAGGAAGCAUCAUCCCACUUCCACUUCUCCUCACUUCCCAUGGGCAUGUUACAAAACUAUCCAUAAUGUGGGUUGUAAGAUUUCCUCUGUAGCCGUUGGUGCUGACCGCUGUCGUACAGGACAGAUACUGGACUCCAAGGUCAUUGGCUUUGAUCUGCCAUGGUAUUUGCUAUGUUAGGGGGUGCAAGUUAACAUAUCCCCUUUCUCCUGUUAAGGUAAUAUGAGGUAACGCUAAUAUUAGCUUCGUUCUCUUCUAGGAAGAGAAUGUAAACCACUAGAACCAGAAAAUGGCAGGGUUCAUUUCACGGACCUCCGGUUUGGUGCAACAGCAAACUUCUCCUGUAAUGAAGGGUACAGAUUAAAUGGACCAACUUCUGCCAAAUGUGUGGUUGCGGGAAAUGGAGUUGAUUGGGAUAAAGAGCUUCCACUUUGCGAAGCAAUACCUUGUCCUCCACCUCCUCAUAUCACCCAUGGAUCCCAUACUGGUCAGACUGUACAAAAGUUUUCCUUUGGCUCAGCAGUAACUUACAAAUGUGACCAGGGCUUCUCUCUUAUUGGAGAGGCCUCCAUUCAUUGUACAAC